rnacentral:lncRNA from 1 species
CGAGACAGCACCACCUGCUUUCCAAGGCCUGGCCACUAGGCCAAGGUUUGGCUUAAGUGAGAGGGCCAGGCUGUCCCUACCCAUGUUUUAGCUCAAGGGACACAACCUUUCCUGCUAUAAACCUUUUUUUUUUGUCUACCUGGGAAAGGCUGUAGCUGCACAGAGCGAGGCUGGAGACUCGGGCUUGGUGCAGGACAUGGAUGAUCUGAAUCGCUGAACAGAAUAGACUGUGGUGGAGGCUGAGCAGGAGACCAGGAAGGGCUGCGGUGUGAUCCUCCUCCGAGAGCAGCCAGGUAGGGAUGUGACGGGAGCAGGCAGGCAGGCAGAGUGCAGGAAUUGGUCCGUGUAGACAGCAGAGGGACAGAGGUGCUGAGCGGUCAGAAGGUGGGUGCCAGGGGAGGAGUGGAGCUGGCCAUGUCUCUCUGAGCACCUGGGGAGGAAGAGCCACCAUCACGGAGGUGGGGGUGCAGGGAGAAGGCGGUGAGGAAAACCCACAACGAUUUGAGAUGGAGAGAGCCCAACCACAGCUGAAUGCAUGAACCUGGACAUCAGUUAAAGGUCUGAGCUGGGCACAGAAAUAGGCAUUUAAAAAUAAAAAUGAAAGUCUACUCCUGAUGUCACAGGCAAAUCAGAUCAAAAUUCCCAAAGCAUGACACAUGAUACUUUUCAUCAACCAUGGAACCCCUCAAUCUGAGGAAUGUAUGGGCUUGAUGAUGAAAACUUGGAACCAGAUAGGAACUCCUGCUGUUGGAGCUGGACCACCUGGAUUCCCCACCAUAGCCCCCACACCAACCCAUUGCUCUUGCCUGGGCCUAGGGUCUCCAGAAGCAGAGAUUGAGAUAGAGUUUUCAGUUGAAGUUGUUUUUAGGUAUCAACCCUUGUGAAAGGAAGCUGGGGGCAAGCCAGGCCGGGGGAGACGUUGACAAUGGUAAAGGUGGUUCCAGCUGCCAGCUGGAGGUUGUCUGCUGACCAUAUGCCACCAUAGCCCAACAGCAAAUCCUUCCUUGAAGGGAGACCCAUGUGUUGCUCUUUGUGUCUUCCUCUCUGCAUCUGCUCAUGCUGGUCCCUUUAGCUGGAAUGUCCUCCACACAGCCAAAGCCAACUCAUCCCACAAGAACCGCUUAGCUGACUCCUGCCACUCCUGCAAACCCAUGUCACCAGUUCCCCAUGAGCCUCCCACCCAGCCAUAACAUCUCCCCUCUCAGAACUCCCAGAGUGUUCCAGCGAUAUUACUCUCCCAUUUUGUAGAUUAUAGUUUUUUGUAUAAAGGAAUUCACAUGGUCCAAAUCUUUAUGAAUGAAGUCCCCACAGUUAUUACAAAGUUACGUAGAGAGAUGAAGCCAUCACAAUCCAAAAGAGUUCACUAAUGAACUGACCACUUAUAACAUUCAUCUCCAAAAUCCACCUCUGCAGUCACAGCUGCACUUGUCUCCCCUGUGCCAACCCCAACAGGUCCUCAGAGGCAGCCUUCCUGAGGGUGACACGAAAACAUCUGUGCACAUAAUGCAAGUAAAUGAAAAACAGUGCCAAGUGGAAAUGCAAAUCUUGCAAAGAGUAUGGGAUUUUGUGAAUUUCAUGGAAGUGAAAUUGGUGAGAACAGCUCAUGAAGCCAUGGGCACAUGAAGACAUGGCAAUUAGACCAGUUAAUGACACACUACCUGAUGGGUACUUAAAAGGAGAAUUAUUUGUGUACAAAAGAAUUGAGUCCUUUGGGGGAAUGAAUGAGCUCUGAAAUACUUUGCAAAACUGAAUUACUUUUAUAGAGUUGUGAACGUUAAACACGAA